UACGGGGGGGGCAAGCGUUGUUCGGAAUUACUGGGCUUAAAGGGUGCGUAGGCGGCGCAGAAAGUUGGGUGUGAAAUCCCUCGGCUCAACCGAGGAACUGCGCCCAAAACUACUGUGCUUGAGGAAGAUAGAGGUAAGCGGAACUUACGGUUGUAGCGGUGAAAUGCGUAGAUAUCGUAAGGAAGACCAGUGGCGAAGGCGGGUCUCUGGACAGUCCUGACGCUAAGGCACGAAGGCCAGGGGAGCAAACGGG
rnacentral:rRNA from 1 species